GGGGGUUAGGCAGUUCAUGAAAGCUAGAUGACCUACUAUGUGGGGAAUAAAUCUGUGGGUUGCUGCAGACAAUCCUAAUGGUUAUAUUGCGACUUUGAAAUUUAUACAGGAAGAAGUCCAGAUAUUCAUCGCAACAGAUUUGGGUAUGACGUGGUGAUCUGAUAUCAGUUUGGUUACAGCCUUAGGUCUUUUGUAGUACAAUAUAAAGGAAAUAUUUUCACCACAUAAUCCAAUUAUGUGCUUUGGCAAACAUUACUGCUUUAGCAAACAUUACUGCCUUGGAAAACAUUACUUUUUUAUAACUACUAAUUAUGAUGAUGCCAGUCCAACAACACUUGGUCAUGCUAUUUGCAAAUAUUUUCAUGUUCUAGAUUGUGAAAACAAUCAAUUUC